rnacentral:snRNA from 1 species
AUCACUUCUCGGCUUUUUGGCUAAGAUCAAGUGUAGAAAGUAUGAUAUAUAUAUAUAUAUAUAUAUAUAAAAAAAAAUUUUUUUUUUUAAUAGUGACUCACUAUGUAGUUCAGGCUGGCCUUGAACUCAGGAAAUCCUCCUGCCGAAGCCUCCCAGUA